rnacentral:tRNA from 1 species
GGCUCUGUAGUGAAGUUCAUGUUGAGUUGCAAGCUCAUCGAUACACAUAAACAUGUGUCUGGGCCU